rnacentral:rRNA from 1 species
GACGAACGCUGGCGGCGUGCUUAACACAUGCAAGUCGAACGGAAAGGCCCUGCUUUUGUGGGGUGCUCGAGUGGCGAACGGGUGAGUAACACGUGAGUAACCUGCCCUUGACUUUGGGAUAACUUCAGGAAACUGGGGCUAAUACCGGAUAGGGGCUCCUGCUGCAUGGUGGGGGUUGGAAAGUUUCGGCGGUUGGGGAUGGACUCGCGGCUUAUCAGCUUGUUGGUGGGGUAGUGGCUUACCAAGGCUUUGACGGGUAGCCGGCCUGAGAGGGUGACCGGCCACAUUGGGACUGAGAUACGGCCCAGACUCCUACGGGAGGCAGCAGGGGGGAAUAUUGCACAAUGGGCGGAAGCCUGAUGCAGCAACGCCGCGUGCGGGAUGACGGCCUUCGGGUUGUAAACCGCUUUCGCCUGUGACGAAGCGUGAGUGACGGUAAUGGGUAAAGAAGCACCGGCUAACUACGUG